AGCACCAUCAGUAUCAAUUUCAGUCAUCAUACGAUUCACGUCAUUGUGAGUCUGAGCCAAACGUGUUCUAUACAUGGCUUUGUUUCUUCGUCCGAGAAAGAAGAAGGCGGCGGCGGAACUAUCUCGCCGGAAAACUAUCAAUCUCCAUCUCAAAUUCGCUUGAGGCUACUUUCAUGUUCUUCUUGCCUUCAAUCGCCGUUUAAUCUCAAGAUCUUCUUCUCCAUUGUUAGAAUGUUAGUCUAAGGAAAAGCUUUAAUAGGACCAGUAACAAAGUCUUGUCGCUAACCCUAUGGCAGCUCCGGCUCUUCUGGAUUCUGUUCUAGAAGCACAAUCCAAAACUCAGGUUUUGAUCAUCGUGGAAACUUCACCCAAACUCGUAGCGAAGCUUGACACCACCUCUGAAUCAAAAACUAAACAUGUCUAGCAAAGAGAGAAUACAACCUUCCAAUCAAACGGUGUAUCAAGUUAAAACAGAAUGCGAAGAACAAAACCAUAACUUUAUUUAUGUUUAACCCGAUUCAGAGAAAGAUAAGAUUGAUAAUCAACUCACAUCAAAAUCACCUAUGCGAAGAGGAAGAUCGACAUAGCGAAAAGAAACUUCUCUUAAGAAAAACAAAAUCGAUCAGAAGAUCGAGUAUUUACAAACAAAAGAGAACCUCAUCUCCUCUGAAAGAUAUGAGUGAGUUAAGAGAAAAGAGUUUUUUUUUUCUCUGUUGUAUCUCUC
rnacentral:lncRNA from 1 species